rnacentral:rRNA from 1 species
GAGUUUGAUCAUGGCUCAGGAUGAACGCUAGCGAUAGGCUUAACACAUGCAAGUCGAGGGGCAGCGAGGGUAGCAAUACCUGUCGGCGACCGGCGCACGGGUGAGUAACGCGUAUGUAACCUGCCCGCAACAGGGGGAUAACCCGGCGAAAGUCGGACUAAUACCGCAUAAAACAGGGGUCCCGCAUGGGAAUAUUUGUUAAAGAUUUAUCGGUUGCGGAUGGGCAUGCGUACCAUUAGGUAGUUGGUGAGGUAACGGCUCACCAAGCCAUCGAUGGUUAGGGGUUCUGAGAGGAAGGUCCCCCACACUGGUACUGAGACACGGACCAGACUCCUACGGGAGGCAGCAGUGAGGAAUAUUGGUCAAUGGGCGAGAGCCUGAACCAGCCAAGUCGCGUGAAGGAUGACUGCCCUAUGGGUUGUAAACUUCUUUUACAAGGGAAUAAAA